UACGAAGGGGGCUAGCGUUGUUCGGAAUUACUGGGCGUAAAGCGCACGUAGGCGGAUUGUUAAGUCAGGGGUGAAAUCCCAAGGCUCAACCUUGGAACUGCCUUUGAUACUGGGGAUCUCGAGUCCGGAAGAGGUUGGUGGAACUGCGAGUGUAGAGGUGAAAUUCGUAGAUAUUCGCAAGAACACCAGUGGCGAAGGCGGCCAACUGGUCCGGUACUGACGCUGAGGUGCGAAAGCGUGGGGAGCAAACAGGGAUUAAGAAA
rnacentral:rRNA from 1 species